UACGUAGGGUCCGAGCGUUAAUCGGAAUUAUUGGGCGUAAAGCGCGCGCAGGCGGUCCUUUAAGUCUGAUGUGAAAGCCCACGGCUCAACCGUGGAGGGUCAUUGGAAACUGGGGGACUUGAGUGCAGAAGAGGAAAGCGGAAUUCCACGUGUAGCGGUGAAAUGCGUAGAGAUGUGGAGGAACACCAGUGGCGAAGGCGGCUUUCUGGUCUGUAACUGACGCUGAGGCGCGAAAGCGUGGGGAGCAAACAGG
rnacentral:rRNA from 1 species